rnacentral:rRNA from 1 species
CAAAAACAUCGCCUCUUGAUAAAUUAUAAGAGGUCCAGCCUGCCCAGUGAAAAAUUUAACGGCCGCGGUACCCUGACCGUGCGAAGGUAGCAUAAUCACUUGUUCUUUAAAUAAGGACUAGUAUCAACGGCAUCACGAGGGUUACACUGUCUCCUUUCUCCAAUCAGUGAAACUGAUCUUCCCGUGAAGAAGCGGGAAUAUAACCAUAAGACGAGAAGACCCCAUGGAGCUUUAAAUUUUAUAGCAACUCAGUCAAAUAAACCCUUAAAAUCCACAGAGCCAUGCAUGCCAAUUUUAGGUUGGGGUGACCGCGGAGUAAAAAUUAACCUCCACGACGAAAAGAACUAGAUCUUUAUCUAAGAGCUACAACUCUAAGAAUUAGAAUACUAACGACAAUGACCCGAUAAUCGAUCAACGGACUAAGUUACCCUGGGGAUAACAGCGCAAUCUACUUCGAGAGCUCAUAUCGACAAGUAGGCUUACGACCUCGAUGUUGGAUCAGGGUAUCCCAGUGGUGCAGCCGCUACUAAUGGUUCGUUUGUUCAACGAUUAAAACCCUACGUGAUCUGA